UUUUUAGGGAAAAGUAAGACACCAAAACAUUUUAAAAUUAAAGCAUUAACUGGUUUUCCAUUUGCUAAACUCUUUUUGAUAUGAAUGAUAAAUCAUUUUUUCCUUAAGACUACAGCAUUGCUAAUUUUCUCCAUAUGUGUACAAUUUGUCUUUGACCUUUAACAAAUGUCCUCUAGGCAGUCCACUUACCAUCCAAGAACAACGCCACAACAUCAUUUUACUUGCACACAAAGACUUGAAAGCUUCAUAAAAAUAAAUGAUCAUAUUUAAAAGCAAUGUCUCUUUCCAAUAAAUGAUUUUAUGUGUUACAGACACAUUUAGUAUUAAGCAUCAUGUAUAUUUAAUAUCACAAUGUCUACUUCAGUGUCCCAAAAAGCCUUUAUUCACUUUAUAGUUUCCAUUACUGAAGAGCCAACUUUCGGUUCUCCCACAAUUGUGUAAAGUGCAGGCAAGCCACAAGAGCUUCUAGUUUUAGCUUGCAGCCCGUGGGACCACGAUAAUUGUUAUGAAGCCAUUAAUUCUACCUCAGCAGUUUCAACUGUCAGGUACAUGUAACAAUAAUUGCACUUAAUGAAUGCUGCUCAAUUUAUUAAGUACAAAAUGAAAACCAGUAUUCUUUUAUAUGCAGCACUGAGGUUUUCAAUCACUCAAGGUAAACUGCAUAGACAUUUGCAAGAGCGAAGAGAGAAGAAUUUCUGAAAACAUAAGAUGAAAAGGUAUCACUUUUAGGAUCCCAGAGGCAUCUGCUUCCAAUAAGUAUGCUCUGCCUGUUCAGUUGUCCAAUGUGAACAAUCACAAUUAGUUUAUACCGUGGAAUCAUCAAGUCCUUGACCUGGGCUUUAAUAACCUAGAA
rnacentral:lncRNA from 1 species